UCACCACUUGCCUGCCCCAACGGAAUUAACGGAAGCUGCCAACAGCCCUGCCCUGACCUCACUGGAGAGAACUUCUUCCUUAGUGGACACAAUUUCCUCUUUCUUCUGAGAUAGUCUCUCUCUUCUCUUAAAGCAGGAAGUCCCUCACGUGCAGGCCAAGUUUCAGACAGAGAGACAAGUUGGGUCAUUCAUUUAUUCUCAUUAGGAAUCUCCUUAUGUGGUUCAGGAAAAGUGUCAUGAUUGCUCCUAUGAAAAGCUGCUGGCAGGGGUAGAGGGAAGCCAGGUUGAGGGUAUGCAAAGGAAUGAAAGUGCUUGAGGAGGGCCAGCAGCCCCUGACUGUAACCAAUAUCAAAAAACACUUUAAUUUUGGGUUGAAUGGAUAAAAGCCAGUUUGUGAAGUCACAGAAAUGUCUUUGUUAGACCUGGCUAGUCCUUUUCUGAGAUCUUGUGACAUAACUGCAGGCAGAUGGAAGAGGCAUGGCAAGCAUUAACUGCCACACACGUUGAGGGAUCACCCUCCUUACUGGAGGUGCUGAGUGGUAGAAAUCCCUGGAGUGCAUAUAGAAAGAGUGGAAUUAGCAGAUGGCCCUAAGAUUCAGGGUGUGAUUUUUGUAAAAUCAGAGACAUCUGGGAGGAGGGAGGCAUGAACCCAAAUCCUGACUUGCCCUGAAAGUGAGCCUUAAUGACUGAAAUGCUACUCUGAGAAUUUCUAGUUUCUGGCUUCAGAGUGAAGGUGAUAGUUGAGGGGUGAAUGUUUACAAGUGCAGGUAUGCAGCAUGUGUUCCUGUCUUGGACUUUUAGAAGAUUUUCUCUAGACUGAAAAGGUUGUUAGCUAGGUUAGAAUAUCAAGGAAGGUUAUAGUUGCUUUUUCUACAUAUUGCCAAGAAGCUAGACUUUCAUAAAACUCUAGUGGAGGUUUGCUGCAGCUUAGAGGAAAAGGCAUUGCCUUUUUUAAUGUUGGCCCUGCCAAGCUGUGUGCUCCAGAGCAGGCCACUUAGCAUUUUUGGCUGUGCUCUAGAGAGUAACACCUAUCUUGCAAGAUGCUUUUAAUGAUUAGGAGGAAGAAUAACCAGGAAAAAGAUAUGUAAACUGUAAAAAGCUGUCAUCACCUUACAGUGGUGAUGGUGAUGAUAUUUAUACUCCUGGGAUGUUGGGACACAUCCUUGCCUAGAGCAACUGUAUAUACAACAUAAUCCUUCCAGCUUCAGGGCUCUCCUAGUAAGGUUAAAGGAUACUGAUAUUAUCCAGUGUUUAAUAGAAUUAGACCCACCACUUGCUGCUUUAUCACAGAAGAUAUGGGGCCGAGGGAGCCUCUGUUAGCAACACUCAAGACCUUGGUUACAAAUGAGUGGAAUGCAUAAGGGGGAGGGGAUCUUUAACAACCUCUGAGAGCAAUAUGAACGGCAAGUUAUUUUUGUUCAGGAACAGAAAGCAAACAACAUUAGUGGUGGAAGGAAUGCAAACCACAUCUUGCCUAUUUAAAGCAAUAAAGGAAAGGAACAAAAUUAUACAGGCAGAGAGGUUCUUUUGUUUCCCCAGCCAUGAAUCCUGGUUUAAAAGUGCACACAAACCACAAAGAUAGUAGAUACCAUCUCAACCCCUGGUGUAAUGUGUUUCUUAUUCUUCAGUGUACUUUCAGAGAGAAAAGAUCCUACCAAUAAAGCAAUGUCACACUCCCUUCAGCUUGCUUUCUCAUUUGAGCUUUAUGUUUAUAUUCUGUUGAGAAAACCUAAAGACAUUAUCUGUUUUCAGUAGUAGUUGAUUCUUCCCAGGCACAGAGGGGGAGGAUAAGUAUAAUUUUUUCAAGCAUAACUCAUUCAUUUACUCAAUAUUAAGAUAUAUGCGAGGCUCUCUCUGCUGAGUAAGGAGGACAAAAAUAAACUAGGGACCCUACCUUUAGGGAAGAAAAGACGUUUACGCUGGUACGUGUAUUUGAUUUGCUGAGAGAGAGAACAGAUUUGGGAUUCAGAAAGAGGAACAGUUCUUUGUAGUAUAUCUGAUCUGCUGAAGGGAGACUAAGUGUCUGCAGAGGAAAUAGUGGGCGUGAGCUCUAGAGGUAGAGCUAAACUAGACAGCGGGUGGCCUAGGAUAAUGGGUUAAGGAUUUGUGACUUUAUUUUGAAGACAUAGGGAGUUACCAAAGUUUGUUUUUUUUCAGCUGGGAAGUAGCACUGUCAUCUGGAUAUAAAUAGAUCCUGAAAUUUGGAAUCUCCAUUUUGAGAAUGAACUUAGAAGAUAAUUGCAUGGGUGGGUUGAAAGAUGCCUUGAGAAGUUUCCAAAGGGGCAGCGCUUGUAGCUUGCCCUCCUGUUAAGGGUAUAUGCACUGCUUCUCAUUCUCCAUUUGGCAUGAAGAACAGUGCACACGUACACAGGAGAGUUGAAUUCUUUCAAGAUAGACUCAGUCACUUAAGAAAUGUAGAUGACCUUGUUUCUAAUUAAAAUUAUAAGAGAAAUUCCACAUGGCUGAAAGAGAGGAAGUGGCCACCUCAGUCUGGAGAUAUUUCUUUCUAGGAGGAAGGGCACUGAAGCAGAACAUGAUAACAUCCUCCAGCAACCAGGAAGGAUGAAUGCACCUGCCACUGAUGAAUGGAAAGGUGUUUCAGUGCACCAAGCUCUGGUGAUCUUGGAUGACGUCUGGAUAUUGCCACUAAUUUGCUGUGUGACCUUGAACAAGUCACUUUUCUCCUCUGGGCCUGAGUCCCCUUAUCUAUACACUGAGAAGUUAGACUGGAUGGUAUCUAAAGUUCCUUGAGCUCUGAGAUUCUGUGGGACUAAGGAAAGCUGCUGGUAGCUCCGGCAUGGCAAGUCUGAUGAUCCCCCAGUUUUCCUUCUCUCUCAUUGGUACCGAGGGAGGCAACUCAAUAGGAUGUACUCAGAUUCCUGGCCAGGUCUUACAACCAGAGUUCAAGUUAUGCCCUUGCUAUAGGUUAGCGGUGUGAACUUGGGCAAGUCACUUAACCUCCAUGAGCCUCUGUUUCCUUUUGAAAAAAAAAAAAAAAAAAGAUAGAUUAAUGCAUCAAUGACCUCCAGCCAAAGAUUCUUCCUUUUGGCAAUGGAGACAGACUCAAGCUAUAGGACAUUUAUCUUUGACGUCCAGAUUUUGCUCUUUACUGAAUUUAUACUGAUUAGGAUCAAGAGGGUGUCCAGAGAGUGUAGUGUGUAGUUGGACUAAGGGUUGGUCUUCUCCUCUUUCUUUUGUUGCAAGGUGAAUUACUGGCUCCUGUGACUUGAUAAUUCCUGCACAGUAGCACCAAAGACCCUGGGCAUAAUAUAUCAGUUAACUGCCACACAGGCAAUCAUUACAAACAAAAGGCUGAUUUGUUCCUUGUGACAGGUCUUACAGAGCCCAGAUUAUAAAACUCAGACAAUGAAAACAUGUACUUAAAAUCCAUCUGGGUCUGUUUUAGAGAGCCAGGUGGCUUUCUCUUUUACUUAGUCACAUACUGCCCUGCUUUUCCUAUAGUAUUGACAAUAGGAUAGCAAGACAUUUUUACUGCAAUAUAAAUUUCUCUUUGACUACCUGAGACAAACUUUAGGGCCAUAUGAUUAUCCACACAAUGAUCAACUCUGGCUAAUGAAGUUUGCACUGAUCUGCUGGAUUUCUAGAGGAGAAUCUGCUUCAUUUAUGGUGUCUGUUUAUGGCCAGAGACAAGUUUGGACUAUCUGUCUCUGCUGCAUGAAUAUCCUGCUGGGGGAACUGUAGCUCUCAGAGUAUGCAUGUUGUACUCUGUGCUUGCCUGUUUUGGAGGUUUCUGAGUAUACUUCUCAGGGGAAUGUGAUCCAAUGGGGGGAUGGUAGUGAUUUGAAGCAUUUGAAAGUCUCUAACAGCUAUCCUGGAUACAUAGGUUAAGUUAGUGUUUUUCAGGUGGGUGUAAACCCAAUGUCCAUGUGAGAAGUAAUCCCCUAGAGGGUCAAAGACUGGGAGUGGGAGAAUAAGCAUCAUUUAGCAUAACAGUAGUGAGCCAGGUAUUUGUCCCUCAAUUUGGGCAGAUUCCUUGAGUGGAUUCAAAUAGUUCCUGCAAAGCAAGAACAGAUUGACUCUUGUAGCUAAAAGAGCCCUGAUAGUAGUUUCCAUUUUCAAUGGGCUAAGUUUUGCCGAUAAGAUUGUAAUAACCUCAGCACAAGCAUCUUCUUGAAAUGGAGUAAGGUUCAGUUUUUUAUAGAAUCAAGUCUGGAUUAUGUAAGAGAAACUUAAGAACGAGAAGAUACACAUAGAAGAAUAAAUAUUCUUCUACCUUAGGUAGAAGUAAAUUCACAAAGCUAUGCAACCAUCAUCUCUAAUUCCAAACAUUUCUUCACCCCCAAAAGGGAAUCCCUUUUCCCCCCAAAGGGAACACCUUAGGUGUUAAACAUUUAAACACCUUAAAUGUUUAAAAAGGAGUUAAAUUUGUAAAAAAUCAUCUAAAUUCAGAGCAGUAGUUAAGGUUGGAGAAAACCACAAGAGUUUCAUUUCUUCUGAAGUGGCAGAAGACCUCAGAGAGUCAAAAACAGGUGGAUUGUAAGGGAGCAAAGAAAGGAGAGGAGUCAAAAUACAGUAGGAAGCAGAUGAGCCAGAACCUCAAUGUCUUUUACAUAAACACCUCCCAAAUGAACCAUUAUCCUGAUUCUUUUUAGUUGAAUAUAAUUUUAUAUGUAUGUGUAUAUAUUUUUAUUUUUAAAUAAGUUAUGGAAACAGCAUAACUUACCUACAUCAUAAAACCAAUGUAGAAACUUGGGAAGUAUGAACUUGAACCAAGGCCUUAUUCAAAGCAAAACAUCAUACUGACAUAUUUGUAUAUGGUCAAUUUUUUUAAGAACUGUGAAUCAAGCCCAGGACUCUCUAUCUUGGAGCUAAAACCUUCUCUUAUUAUCUCACAAAUGUGGUAAAAAGAGAGAGAGAGAGAGAGAGUAAGAGACAGACUAUUAUCUAAAUAUGCUUUCUAGUGUUGACAAAAAGGGACACAAUUGAACAACUUCCUAUGUAGACAUUUUUGACUGUUUAUCUGGAUUCUAGACAGUGCUAGAACACACACACACACACACACACACACACACACACACAACUGAAUGAUGCUUUUGAUCAGCUAUCUUUAUAAUUUCCAAAGGGUGGGAAUAUAGAAGGACAGAAACAAAAUCAGAGGGAGCUAGCUUCCAAUAAGUAUGAAAUUAUCACUACAAGACUAAUGAGAUUCUUUCUGCAAGGAAAGGUAAAAAGGUUAGCUGUAGAAAAAUGGGUUUUGACAUAUACACUUGAAAGAGAGUGACAUUAUACUGUUUUAGACAAUAGCUUGGGCCCUUGACAUUUUAUCAAACUGUAUGAUAAAAAGCCAGCACUUAAUAAUCCCUGAAGUAUGGAAACAAAGGAGAAAUCCUGUGUCUCUUAUAUUAAACAAAAUGAUCUCUCUUUUAGACAUGACAAGAUCUUCAUGAGGGUUUCUUCACUUUUUGUACUAUAUCUGUACCAUCUGGUUCAUGUCAAAAUUCCCUCAAGUAGCCACUGCAAUUCCAAAUUUUCUCUUAUAUUGUGUUAGAGAAAUAAGGAGAUGCCUUAACAUGUUCAAGAAUAAUAAAGCAGUGGGUGUUUGGCCCAGAAAAGUGCCAUUUUAGAUAAAGAAGACCCCAAGAGAAGUGGAAUAGACUGUAAGGAGACUUUGUGUCUUGGAGCUUUGUCAAAGGCCAAAAGCUGAUUAUCACCAAUCAGGGGCCAGCCAAAAGUCCUCUAGCUUCUAGGCAGAAGAGACAUUAAUGAGAGCAGUUUCUUGGAAGAACACAAUGACCCAAUUGGGGAAGAAGCCUUUUUGAAAUGGUGACCUUGGGUAAAGCCUGUCCCAAAGGGUUCUAAUCCAAAGAGAUCUCCUGAAUUCCUCUGCCAUGGAGACCAGCUCAAGGAUGGACUUCUUGGCCCUCAUCUCUGCUCUUCCUAUCAACUUCUCCACCUAAAGACAAACAACAUUAGACAGACAUUGGAGCAGCUGUUAGAAGGCUACUCAACAAUUUCACCAGGGAACAGUCCAAAGAUGACCAGAUAAUAGAGAAGUCCGUCAGCAUCAAAUUUCUAGGAAAACAAAAUAAGCUCAAAGUAGAAAAGCCUCAAGGAAACACUGGAAUUCUGAGCUUACCUCCUUGCUAGGGUCUGCAUAAUUUCCCAAACAGGCAGAGAGUCAAGAGGUUUCAGAUGUGAAUACCAUAAAAGAGGCAGGGGUCACUUGGUUUGAGGAAAUGAGUGUUUCUGCUGUGUCUCAGUAGAAACUUCAUUUCUGCCAAUAUUCUCCAGUUAAAAACCACCAAGAACGUACCUCUGAUUGAACAAAGUUGGGUUCAUUGAUGUCGCAAGAAGGAAGAAUGCACACCAAUUAAGAGAAUGUUAGAAAACACUUAUGGGGUUUUGGCUUGUGUCUGGUGAUUUUCAGGAGUGUUUAGGAAAGUGAGGCCUUUCUCUGAGUUGGCUAUUGUCAGUAAGCAGGUGUAAUGCUAUGAUUGUAUAUCUUAGUUCUUAUCUGGAAGAUGAGAAGAAUGGAGCCAGGCUCAAGCUGUGGUUGGUGAAGAAGCAGUAGUCACUUGUAUUGUCCAGGUGCUUGAUAUUCUGUGAUUUGCACAGCAGCCUGAUUUUUCGUCUGGCCUUAGACACGAUUAUGAAGUAGUCUUGUUUUUUGUCUCCCUUGGAGUCAGAGUGAGACUGUGUCUGAUGUUCGUGCUCUGUGCGAUUAUUAUGUCCAACAGAACACCAUGGCUAACUCCUAAUAAAUUGAAGCCUAGUUGUGAAUAUCAGGCCCAUUCUUAAAUGUUGGGGGCCACUUUUCUCUUUCUUGUAUGAACUAAUUCUUCAGUACUGCUGAGAGACUUAAAAUAGAAAAGAGGUAUAAAAGGAUUUGUAAAAACGUGAAGCACAAUGAGAAUGAAGUGAAUGAUUCUUGACCCUUUUCUUAUCUGGGAGGUACAAAUCCAGAAACCUUGGCCAUUGAGAACAUCGCUGGGAAAUUGAAAGCAAGCAAGCAAGCAACACUUCUGAGCACCUGAAAUAAAAGUGUGCAAAUACUUACAGUUUUUCUAUUUACUCUGUUUUGCACAUAUCCUAACGAGCUGUGUUACCAUGCUCACAGAAGGGAGAAGGCGAAGGGAAUGCUCAGAAGCAGGAGCAAGGAGAGUAGCAAGUCCUGGCACAUGGAUGGGCCUUGAAGACAUUAUGCUAAAUGAAAGAAUCCAGAUGCCAAGGACCACAGAGUGUAUGAUUCCAUUUCUAGGGAAGUUUCCAGAAUGGGCAAAUCCAGAGAGACAGAAGGUAGAUUAGUGGUUGCCAGGGGGCGGGGAAGGGGGGACUGUGACAAUUGAUGGGUAUGGGAUUCCCUUUUGGGGGUGAAGAAAUGUUUGGAAUUAGAGAUGAUGGUUGCACAGCUUUGUGAAUUUACUAAAACCACUUUAAUAAAAGGGUAAAUUUUAUGAUAUGUCAACUAUAUCUCAAAAAUGUUAAAAAAGAAAGAGGGUGAAGAUAUGGCAAGGCACUAAGGAGAAGUUGACUCCCAAAGCAGGGCCAUCAAGAGCUGCAAACUCUGCCCACGUCUUGAUUCAUAACCUCUGGGUUCUCUUCCAUGUGAUCCCACACAUGCGUCCGGACACCCCUGCUGGCCAAGGUGCUGAAGGAUAUAAAGAGGACCAAGGUCCCUGAACUCUGGACGGAGCACCUCUCAGGGCAACAGUGGGCAUUCAUACUAAUGACUCCCAAGCAAGUCACCACGAAAAGGUCACAUUAUCUUCAAAACUCUUAGUUUAAAAAGACAGAGGAGUGGAUCUCACGUAAUUUGGAAAAAAAUUCAUUUUGCCAACCUUUUAAAGAAAUCUUAAAACCUCUGGUGUCAAAUUUCAGUUAGCUAGAAAGAUAAUGCAUGUGGAAUGGCUCAUCUCCCAUAGAAACCAGAGAAUGAGAUGCCACUGUAUCUAUGGAAAGGCAAACAUGCCCACAUAUCUCAAUAACCCCAGAGAGCGGGUCAGUUAGAGUGUUUCAAAUCAUCCAGUCUCCUGGGCAUCUGGGAUGUCAUGGUGACUGCACCAAUUAUACUAACUUUUUUGAUUUUCCCAAAAUAUUUGAUGUGCCUCUUACUCAGGGGGCCAAGGGCAGCACUAAGCAAGCUACGGUGGAGGGAAAGAGGGCUCAUGGCAGAGGGCUGUGGUCAGGGCGGAGCGCCACUGAGGAGAGAAAUCUGUCCCCUUUCAGCGGCUCUCUGUGGUUCUCUUUCUCAGUGUGUGGGAGAUACAUGUGAGCCCUGCCUCCAUUGUAUGGCCAGGAAGCCAUUGCCAGUGUAGAAGUACCCACUAUAGUUUUCUAGGUGGAGGAAAUGGGGUAGGUGUGAAGUGAGCACCCAUCUCAGAAUGGUUUCAGAUCAUAGGAACUAUGCACCAUUACAAGCCACUGCUUUUGGUGGACAGCUGUGUCCACAGGUGGUUUAAGAGGGAGCCUCAGGGGCAGAGGGAGAGGAGAACAGAAGCCCUCCUUCAGCUAAACGUGAACCUGGCAAAUUUGGAUGAGCUCCUUAGCUCUAAAUUGCUAUUUCCAUUCUCGGGCCCCUUCAAGGACCCCAAGCUUCCAACUUGCCACAAGCUUUGGGACAUGGCACCUGCUCUUGAAAGUAAGCAUUUAGGAGUUUUUAAAGGCCUAAGUUCAAACCUGCUACUAGAAAAGAUACAUUUAAAGGGAAGAUGCCCUGCUGUAAAUUAGUGGCUUUCCAUUGGGACCACACUUAGUGGAGUCCAGGGGUUGGUGACCCAUGUCUUGAGUAAUGGGAGACUAGAACCAAGUUGCUUGUGUGUGAGGGGGUCAGAUGGAACAAAGGUUUCUUCAUGGAAAAGCAAGUGGCAGUGAUGGUAGUACCUGGGGAGCGUUUUGGCGAUUGCGCUGUUCAAGACUGGAUAGAGAGCCAAAUCUAGGCUGUGCAAUUGGCUGUGCUUUUGGCAGGAAUGAGAAGGGCAGGUUGGAGUGACAAAAAAAACCACCAAGAGUCUCUGUGUGGUGACUCACCUAUGCUCCCAGCCCUCCCCCAUCCCUUCCCGUGAAUCCGUAUAGGUUUAAAGAGCCUGCCUAUUAGUCAGACUCUCCCAGGGGGCACAGAGACCCUCUCAGGUUACUUUCAGUAAUGGGGAUUUAUUGUAAGGAUAUUUCUGGAAAUUGGGAGGCCUCAAAGCCUUAGGAUUCCAUAAACAGGACAGAUUGGCUUCUAGGAGCUCAGAACAGGAUUCUGGACCUCAGGCAGCUGCAGGGGUCUGAUAAUCUCAUACUCUCUACAACGAGAUAAGAAGUUUAUGGCUGGAUUGAAAACCAGGCAUGUUCGCCUCUGAGGUCUGUGCUCCUUCCACUGGUGGAGUCAGGAAGACAUGGACUCUGAGCAUUGUUCAAUCCCUUACCAAGGGUGUGACUUGAGUGAAGUAGCCACAGAGUGGAUUGUUUCUGGCAAGAAGAGGACUGUGACUGGCUUCUCCAGCAACACAACUGGCUGCUUUCUGGACCAUCAUCUUUGACCAUUAUUGUGUACUGUGGGACAGCACAUUAAUUUGAAUAUGUUUUGAAACCAAGAAUCAUUAGACAGGUAGAAAUUCUAUUUGUGUGUAUCUGAGUAUAUAAAAUGAGUCGAAGAAAAGCAA